CGGCACGGGUGAGUAACACGUAUCCAACCUGCCGUCUACUCUUGGACAGCCUUCUGAAAGGAAGAUUAAUACAAGAUGGCAUCAUGAGUUCACAUGUUCACAUGAUUAAAGGUAUUCCGGUAGACGAUGGGGAUGCGUUCCAUUAGAUAGUAGGCGGGGUAACGGCCCACCUAGUCUUCGAUGGAUAGGGGUUCUGAGAGGAAGGUCCCCCACAUUGGAAUUGAGACACGGUCCAA
rnacentral:rRNA from 1 species